rnacentral:ribozyme from 13 species
AGGAAAGACACGAAAUAGAAGAGGGUGCCACUCGAAAGUAGGAAGACCAGCUUUAGAUUUACCCAAAUUUUGCAUAUGUGUGUAUUCUUCUUCCAUUUUUUUUUGUUGGCUAUUUCUCCAUAAC